rnacentral:rRNA from 1 species
CAGAGGGGGCAAGCGUUGUUCGGAAUUACUGGGCGUAAAGGGCGCGUAGGCGGCCUUCUAAGUCGAACGUGAAAUCCCCGGGCUCAACCCGGGAACUGCGUCCGAUACUGGAAGGCUUGAAUCCGGGAGAGGGAUGCGGAAUUCCAGGUGUAGCGGUGAAAUGCGUAGAUAUCUGGAGGAACACCGGUGGCGAAGGCGGCAUCCUGGACCGGUAUUGACGCUGAGGCGCGAAAGCCAGGGGAGCGAACGGG